rnacentral:tRNA from 2 species
GCCCGGGUGGCGGAAUGGUAGACGCGCUAGCUUGAGGUGCUAGUGCCUAUUUUAACGGGCGUACGGGUUCAAGUCCCGUCUCGGGCACCA